GUCGAACGCGCAGCAUUCUGUAGCAAUACAGGGUGUGGGCGCGUGGCGAACGGGUGCGUAACACGUGGAUAACCUUCCUUCAGGUGGGGAAUAACCCAGUGAAAAUUGGGCUAAUACCGCAUAACAUGACGAUACCACAUGGUGUUGUCUUCAAAGCCGCAAGGCGCCAGAAGAGGGAUCCGCGCCCGGUUAGCUUGUUGGCGAGGUAAUGGCUCACCAAGGCUUUGAUCGGUAGCCGGACUGAGAGGUUGGCCGGCCACACUGGAACUGAGACACGGUCCAGACUCCUACGGGGGGCAGCAGUGGGGAAUCUUGCACAAUGGACGAAAGUCUGAUGCAGCAACGCCGCGUGGGGGAUGAAGCUUUUCGGAGUGUAAACCCCUUUCGACCCGGAAGAAUGCCCGCAAGGGUUUGACGGUACGGGUAUAAGAAGCCCCGGCUAACUACGUGCCAGCAGCCGCGGUAAUACGUAGGGGGCCAGCGUUGCUCGGAAUUACUGGGCGUAAAGGGUCCGUAGGCGGUGUGGCAAGUCGGGAGUG
rnacentral:rRNA from 1 species